GCUUGUCUCAAAGAUUAAGCCAUGCAUGUCUAAGUAUAAACAAAUCUAUACGUGAAACUGCGAAUGGCUCAUUAUAUCAGUUAUAGUUUAUUUGAUGGUUCAUACUACUUGGAUAACCGUAGUAAUUCUAGAGCUAAUACAUGCAUCAAGCCCCAACUGCUUGUCGGACGGGGUGCACCUAUUAGAUGGAAACCAAUGCGGGGCAACCCGGUAUUGUGGUGAAUCAUAAUAGUUAAGCGGAUCGCAUGGCCUCGUGCCGGCGACGACUCAUUCAAGUUUCUGCCCUAUCAGCUUUGGAUGGUAGGGUAUUGGCCUACCAUGGCUUUAACGGGUAACGGAGAAUUGGGGUUCGGUUCCGGAGAGGGAGCCUGAGAAACGGCUACCACAUCCAAGGAAGGCAGCAGG
rnacentral:rRNA from 1 species